GUGUUUCUGCGGUUUGUGAGGUGAGAGGCGCUGGAGCUAUGGGUCCGAACCGCGGUGUCUGAACCCAGAAGGUCACCUCAUCCUAACCCGAAUCCUGAAGCAGCGAGAGAGCGGCGACUGUUCACAGGGAUCUCAAGGGCAUUUCCCUUUGCCCACCUCACCUUUUCAUAUUUGGUAAACUGUAUGCAUUUGCCUCCAGCCCAAGAUUAUAAAUAUGAACUGAUUAUGAUCUGCAUGUUCUCUCUUUGGGUUCAAGCAUUUCCUUACAGAAGAGCCACCGUGGAAGUCAUGGGUAAAUAUGUGUUGAAUUGGUAACUCCCUCUUGGAGAAUUUCUUGUGAAUUACACAGCAAUAGGGGAACUCAUUUAACUGGAGACAUAAUCUCAAUUUGUAAAGUGUGGCCCAUUUUCUAACAUUUUUAUUUUGCAUACCCUCCCCUCUCUUCUCGAUUGAUGAAACUAACAAAGAGGUUAAUAAAAGCCCAUCUCGUCAUGUA
rnacentral:lncRNA from 1 species